AUUGAUGUAUUCAAUGAGUUUAUAGCCUCAGCCGACAUGCAUGAGUAAUAUUUGAAUUUUCAUCGUGAUGGGAAUAGAUCAUUGCAAUUGUUGAUCUUUAAC
rnacentral:rRNA from 1 species